rnacentral:rRNA from 1 species
CCCAGACUCCUACGGGAGGCAGCAGUGGGGAAUAUUGCACAAUGGGGGAAACCCUGAUGCAGCGACGCCGCGUGAGUGAAGAAGUAUUUCGGUAUGUAAAGCUCUAUCAGCAGGGAAGAAAAUGACGGUACCUGACUAAGAAGCCCCGGCUAACUACGUGCCAGCAGCCGCGGUAAUACGUAGGGGGCAAGCGUUAUCCGGAUUUACUGGGUGUAAAGGGAGCGUAGACGGUGAUGCAAGUCAGAAGUGAAAGCCCGGGGCUCAACUCCGGGACUGCUUUUGAAACUGUGUGACUGGAGUGCAGGAGAGGUAAGCGGAAUUCCUGGUGUAGCGGUGAAAUGCGUAGAUAUCAGGAGGAACACCAGUGGCGAAGGCGGCUUACUGGACUGUAACUGACGUUGAGGCUCGAAAGCGUGGGGAGCAAACAGGAUUAGAUACCCGGGUACA